rnacentral:snRNA from 1 species
GGGAAGAUAACCAGGAUCAGGUGGUUUUCCCGGGGCGAGGCUCAUCCGUUGCACUCCAGAUGUGCUGACCCCAGCGAUUUCCCCAAAUGUGGAUAAGUCGGUCGCAUAAUUUGUGGCAGUGGGGGACUGUGUUGGUGCUUUCCCCU